rnacentral:rRNA from 1 species
CCGAUCUCAUCAGCAAUCGACGCGUGGCUCGGCGCCGUCGUCUCCCUCCUCCCCACCAAGGAGGGCUGCCGCACGCAGGUGCUCUCGCGCCGCUGGCACCACAUCUGGUGCUCUGCGCCGCUCAACCUCGACGGCAUACCCGAGAAGACCGUCUCCACCAUUCUCUCCACCCACCAUGGCCCCGUCCGCCGCAUCUCGGUCAGCAUCGAACCCCUCCCCUACCACUACGACGGACGCACGGGACGCAAGAUCCUCGACGACGAUGCAUGCGACGCCAGGGUCGAUGGCUGGUUCCGCUCCCGGGGAAUAGCCUACCUUGAGGAGCUCUGGCUCGUCUACAAACACCACAGCUCCGGAAACGACGUGAUACCGCCGUCGGUGUUCCGCCACGCGCCGGCACUCCACGUGGCCACGUUCGGUAGCUGCCGUCUGCCGCCCAACCUAGUCGUGGACUUCCCGCUGCUCCAGCAGCUUACCUUGUGCAAGGUCAUCCUAACGGAGGAGGCUCUGAACGCCGUGCUCUCUGGCUGCCCUGCGCUGGAGAGUCUUCUGCUAGACAGCAAUGUGGGCUCUGCCAUCAUCCGCAUCAACUCCCCGGCUCUGAGGAGCAUCGGCUUCAGUGCUCCUUGGGACAACCGAGUAGACUCUUACCCUGGUAUUGUGAGAGUGCAAGAGCUGGUUAUCGAAGACACCCCUUGCCUCGAGAGGUUGCUGCCACUCAAUCCACACAAUGGGCCGGCAGCCAUCCGGGUAAUCCGGGCUCCUAAGCUACAAAUAUUGGGUAUUCUCCAUAAAACCAUAUCACAGCUCCACCUUGGAACAACCGUUUUCCAGGUAGCGGCAGCAAAGUUUUUUUGA